CAGAUGAUAAGGCUGAAGAAUGAAAAAAAAUGCGAUUCACAAUGGUGAACAAGUUUGGGAUUAACAUAUGACAGAAGACAAUGACUGAACUUGAAAUGACUGAGUGGAAAGGUAAAAAUUCAUUUGGUCAAUGCACUACAAACAGGAAAUGAACCAACCACUUCCACACCAACCCACCCUCUUCCUAACCGAAAAAAGAGUCCUUGACACUUGACAGAGACAGAAGACAGUUGUUCGGUACUGAUUCAGACAAGAAAGCUGACAGGUAACUUCUAAAAAAAAUUUCUUCAUUCAGCUUCAUUUUUCUUGAGAGCUCAAACAAUAGAAACAACUAAACUUGACUCUAGGAGAUACUACCAUUUAUAUACGCAAUAAAAACACUCAAAUCUAUCCAUGUAAGUAUGAUAUACCCUACAUAUAUUUUAAUUUCGUGUUAUCCUAUUAUUUAGUCAUAAUGCCCAACUCCUGUUGAUUCAAGAAGCCUGACAUGUAUAAUAUUUUGAUUGCAUGUGUACUUAGAAUCUAGAUAAACCAAACUUUGUCACCUGGCUUAUAGAAGGCUAAUCUGGUUAACUCUCUAUAGGUUGCUUUGGUUACGUAAUUGUGGUUCAAUACUGUGUUAGCAAGCCAUAAAAUCAUGACUAAAGAUCUAAGGUUAUAACUGAAUGUAACAAUAGAGCCACAAUUUAGAUGAUAUUGAAUUAUUAUAGCCAAGGAUAACUGGAUGAUUAAACUAUUGACUGUAAGGGAUUUAGUAAAGUAAUCUCCCAAUCGUUGAAAACUGUUACCAACCAUCCAUAGCUAGGACCAGGCCAAUGCCUGUCAUUGGGAUUAACAAUCUGAAAUCAAUUGUCAAUUAUUAUUUUUUUAUUAUAAUUAUUUUUUGUCUCCUUUCCAGCAUCUAUAUUGUAAUUUGCAGUGAGUGUGUAUCUUAGAUCUCAUGUUACUCAUCUUUAUUAAUGUUUUUUUCAUUUAUACAGGCAAUGAAGUCUAAUGAAAACAAUGUUAUGUCUUCAAGGAAGCAUCAGAAAGUACAACAUGAUUGAAGACAAUAUUUCAAGAGGUUGAACCUAAAUUUUUUGCCAAACUUUAUAAUUUUAUUAUUAUUGCUAUUGUUUAUUUAUCUUUGGUCGUGUCUUUAAUAGCAUCUCAUUGAGACUUACAUAUCGUAUCUUAGCUGAUCAUGGAUACAUUUGGAUGUUUUUGUCUAUGUAAGGUUGGAAUCUGAUUUUUAAAAUUCAUGUCAUAGGGCACUAGGACAACUUUAUCAAGACAAAGAAGUGGAAUUUACAAUGAUGAACUGUUAGAGAGAUCUUGUUGUUAUUUAUUUACCAUUUGAUUGUUAACUAGCUAUAAUCUUCAACUGUUAAAACUGCAUGUGUAGGUAAACGUGUCGGAUCUUAGAUCUAUUUCAUAUAUUUGUUGAAAGAUAAUAACAUUUGAAACAUUUUAGUGCUCAUGUAGGUUCUUUUCUAAAGGUAUCUAAUUAAUAACUUUUACUUGACUACCCAAAAUGCAUUUAUGCAAAUCAAAUGUGCUUCAUUUUGAGAUGGCCAAUAGAUUUGUUGUUAAUGCAAUUCUAUAUCUGCAAAUUAGUACUAAGUGAUGAUGGUUAGCAUUUGUUAUUUUCAGGUUAAAUGAUCAACGGUUGAACUGGGAUCCAAAGCAUCAAAUUAAAGUGCAAUUUUUUUUAGCAGAUGUUAUCAAUACCUUUAUGACAUGUAAGUGAAACUGAAUUCUACUCGGCAAUAUUCAAUUCUAUAUUCCUACAUUCUACAAAGAAAUAUUUUUACUAGACAAGUCUUCUUAAUGUUGCCACAUCUAUGAUUAGAUGUUAGUAACAGGCAGUGACCACUAGGAUGUCCCAUACUUCUGUAGGUUCCCCCCUAACAAAGAAGUAUUGACUUUUUAGGACAACUAAGAAAAAUAGAACAACUGUAUAAAGCUGAAAUAUGGGAAAUAUUAGAAAUUAAAUAGCAAGAUUCAAGAAUCUCGAAAUGUAUAUAUAUUCAGCAAUCUGAAACAAGGAUGAGGACCAAAGGAUGACAUGGAUCUUAGUUGUAUGUACUUGCUUGGAGUUUUUUAUAUGAGUAUAUUGUAAUCUUAGUUGUAUGUACUUGCUUGGAUCGUAGUUGUAUGUACUUGCUUGUUACUAUUGCAAUCUUUCCAUGACUAUAUGCUUGAACAUGCAAGUUUUUAUCAUUAUGGUAAUCUGAUUCUACUUUGGAGUUGUAACAGAAAAUAUUAAUUUAGAUUUCUCGAUCUAUACAAUUGGUUGUUGUUGUUGAUAUGAGGUUGAAACAGUACCAUAAGUGUUCAGAUAAAACUUGGUUGGCUAAAAUACCUAAAGGAUAUAUUGAAGAAGCGAGGACGCGGUGUGCAUGUGGUUCAUAUUGAGUUGUCUAUAAACCACUUAUCUUAUGCACACUCUUACUAUCCAUCUUAUAAGGGCAAUGACCUUAAUGCAACUAGAAAAAAAUUAUGGCUUAUACUUCUUUAAGUAAUCAGUUGUGUGAUAGUAGUUUGCACAACAAUGCAAUCUUCAAGAGAACUUAAGAGGAGGAUUCAAACAAGGAAAGUGUUCUGGGUUACCAUUUGGAUAGGGGUAAAGGGAUAAACAAAGAGCAUAUCUUUGAAGGGCUGACGCCAGAUUAACAUUGUUUAAUCCCAUAGUAAUAAGGCUACCCACUAUGGUUCUUAAAAUUUGGCCGAAGCUUAACAUGUUACGCCUAGGGAAAUGGUUAUGGGCAACACUUCCUUUUGUUGUUGUGUGGGUCACCACAUGGAGCAUGGCUACAGAGUUUACGAUUGAGGCGACUUUGAAUAGGGUUAAGUCUACAACCUAGCUAUGGAAAGAGUAUGGCUUAAGAGAGAGCGAAAUGUAAUAACUCAGAGAUGGAAGGAAACACUAAAUUACCAGUGAGGGAACUGAAGCUACAGGUAGACCACCAAACUAUGGUAUACACUACAAUAAUAGAAUUUUGAAGAUAGGGACUAACCAUACCUUUACUGAACAAUUCUUUGGUAUAUGAUGUUAAAAAAACUAACUUAAACUAACUCUAUAUGUUAUAUGAUGUUAGUUAUAUGAUGUUUUUGUUGAUAUUUGAUUUGAUAUAUCAUUUUGGUUGGACUGAAUAUAUUACUAACUCUAGAUUGUGUUUUACUUGCAUAGUUACAUAUAAGACUAAGAAAAACUUAUGCAUCAUCUGAUUAUUUGACUAAUCAGUGUUUUUGUUGGUAUUUUGUUCUUCUCGUCGUCAUUAUUUUUCUUAUUUGUUACAAUGAUUGGGUUUAGAUUAGGUCCUAAUGGUAUGAGCAAUGUUACUUCUGUUUAUUAUUUUCAUAAACCUUUUAGUUUUAUUUUGCUAAUAUUCUUUUUCAUCUAAUUAUAAAUUGUUGUAUGUAGGAAUGUGGAAAUUUUGGAAAUUUGUAUGACAAAUCAUGCUGGAACACACCGCAGAGUUGAAGAUAAGUUUUUCGAUAAAGGCACUUACAGUAGCUUGUCUUGCUUUACCAGAGAUCCUGGUGAUAUAGUUGAGAGUGGACUUGGAUUACUGGCAACUUGGAAGGAGGCACUUUAAGUGAAGACAUGGCCAGAACAACAAUGUGUGCAACAGUUUAUGAACUGCGGCAAGAAUCAGGCAGCCAAAUCUUUUCAUCAUAUAAAUAAAGCACAGAACCAAGGGUGAUAGAAGGAGAAGAAUGCAGUCCAACUGAGGUUUGAAGGCUGCAAAUAAAAUAGUACCAGCCACAACCAACAUGAUUGUUGUGUAGGGAUCCAAAAGGUAUGAUAUGUAGGGAUCACCACAAUUGUUUUUUUCACUAAUAAAGUCACUAUAUUAAGAAUUAACCAAAAG
rnacentral:lncRNA from 1 species